CUGAUGGAAAACAUCUCCAAAAGAGGAAUUCAUUGGACCGAUUUCCCCAGGAUGUGCUUUGUGCUCCUGCCCCAGGUGCCUGAGGAGCCCUUCAGAAGCUGAAAUCGGGAACAGCUGGGAAGGGAGCUUUGUCCCAAGAAAUCCUCCCUUUUCCAGGGAUCUCUCACUAGAGCCUGCCCUGCUCCAUGCAUCAUUCCCAACCAUCCCAUCCCAUCCCAGCCUGCUGCUGAACGAGGACCUGGAGCCAACUGCAGCCUAAUGGGAUCUCCCAGCAUUUUCCAGGUAAGGAAGAAGGAAAACCAGAAGGGAAAUGUUGUCCCAGGGAGGAGCUGAGAUAUAAGGUUCAUUAUUAU